rnacentral:lncRNA from 1 species
GCCCUUAAAAUCAUGUUCAACGCUUUGAUUUCGAGUGUCGAUGCUUGUAUUUAGUGUCUUUCGUAAAGAUGAGCCUUCGUGCACGUCGGUGCGUGUCCGCGAUGUCGCCGAGGCGCCAGAGCUUUUUUUUGCCUUUCCUCGAAACGUUGAUUUUCAAAGUGACCAAUCAGCGACUCGGCUCUGCCAUAAGCGUUACCCCCUCCCACCAUUUUCGACGCCACGGCUCAGUUCCGUUGGGAGGACGCGAGGGAUGUGAGGCCGUUUAAGUUACGUGCGCCUUUUCGUUCGUCGAAAGCGAAUAUAGCGAAUAGCGAUCGAAUCUCCUUGAUAUAUUCGUUAGUGAUCGUGUGCGGUUCGAAAAAGGAUUGCCAGCAAUGGUAUUUGUGUCUAAUGCGUGCAACAGUUUCGUCAGUAAAGUGUGCGUCGCGUCUCAGUUCGCUCGUUUGAGGACGAUGUUGGUUCUGCGUUCUCCGUUUCGUCGUCGACAGAUAAACGUUAAUCGAGAUCUCGGCAAAGCGACGCUCGCGAAAACCUGGCUUGUUUUUGUCUAGUGGCUAGCUUUUUCUUUUCUCGGAAAGUGCCCCCUCCCCCCACUCCUCCUGCCGAAGUAGCCAGCGAGCCGCCCCCCCCUCCUAUAUAUUUUCGAUACGCACCUCAGUCCCGUCGAGAAGGUCACGAUGUCGAGUACGCGAGAUUAUGUCGCAGUCGCACAUUUUGUGUUGUCUAACGACAGGCAAUGAUGCGUACGUGUUUAUUAGUUUACUACUCGAGAUGUGGAAAAUAGAAUAACGUCGUGUAUUGUGUGUGAAAUGCGCGGCCAUUCAGUCUUGAAGUGCGUCGCGUCUCAGUUCGCUCGUUCGAGAACGAUGUUGGUUCUGCGUUCUCCGUUUCGUCGUCGACAGAUAAACGUUAAUCGAGAUCUCGGCAAAGCGACGCUCGCGAAAACUUAGCUUGUUUUGUCUAGUGGCUAGCUUUUUCUUUUCUCGGAAAGUGCCCCCUCCCCCCGCUCCUUCCGCCGAAGUAGCCAGCGAGCCGCCCCCCCCUCCUAUGUAUUUUUAAUACGCACCUCAGUCGCGUCGAGAAGGUCACGAUGUCGAGUACGCGAAAUUACUUCGCAGUCGCACAUUUUGUCUAACGACAGGCAAUGAUGCGUACGUGUUUAUUAGUUUACUCGAGAUGUGGAAAAUAGAGUAACGUCGCGUAUGUAUUGUGUGUGAAAUGCGAAAACACUCAGUCUCGCGAAGUACGUCGCGGUUUCAGUUCGUAGCGUCCGUCGGUAAUUAAUUUUGCGUUCUCCGUUUUCUCGAUAUAAACGUUAAUUCGCGAGAUCUCAAAAAUACGGUACACUCGCGCCUCGAGUUUGUGUCUAUGUCGCGGUCACUUUAUUUUCUUAAAAGGUGCAUUCGCAUCGAGGUGAUCCUCGCGAGCAUCGUUCGUCUCGUUAAUUUUAACCUGUCGAUGUCAGGUACGCGAAAUCAUAUUAUUUAUUCCGCGAUUACGCAUCUGUUUACUCGUCGAGUAUGAAUAUUGCGUAUAAUGAUGUGCAACGAUCCUUGAUGUUCGUACGUUGGUCCACUCGAGCUGUGAAAAAAAAUCGAGCAACGUAAUAAAACGCGCGGAGGGUGUUCAGUCUCGUGAAGUGCGUCGCAGUUCAGUCGCUCGUCUGAAGAUAGCUGCCGUCGCGGAGACCAGCGGAGACACUGGAGUGCGCGAGAUCGGAGCACCCGUCGGAAUUUCGCGUUACACGUCUCGUUAUCCUUCGUUACAUGUCGAGUGAAUAUCGUGCGUGAACGAAUAUCGGGAGUGAAUCGAAUCGGACAGCCGGCGAUCGCCCCUGGAUGUUUUCUGGUCCGCGCGCGAUCGUCUUGUGAAAUUCGCGAGUGGCGUUGCGACGACCUCUAACCUCAACGCGUCCGAUCGUUUGCAUUUAGUGGAUGUAACGAGGAUACGUGCUACAGCAGAAGGAAGGAAAGGGAUGUUGGAAGCAGAGAGGAACAAGACGAUGGCGACGCUUCGAUCGGGUUCCCGGCCAGCAGUCCGACCAGUUUUCAACCGGCGUAUAUCAACUGUCGGCUCCGCCGUAUUUCAUUCUACGUAGCGGGAAAGAUCUCCGACGAGGAGGAGAACGACGGCACCAUUCGCCCUGGGCUCGCUGUUCGAUCGAACACAUUCGUCCCGCGGCGCACACGCCAGCGGGACACGGAUUGAUGACGGAAAGAACCGGGAUAAAUGCCAGCCUCUCCAAUGAUGCACCGCCUUCGGUGACGUAAACAACGUUCACGGAGUCGCGCCCGCAAUAUAUAUUCGAGAACUUACCUUGUAAAACGAAUCGUCAACAUCACAACCAAACUGAGCUGAAGCAGAAGUUCUAGCGGAAAUUAAUAUAAAAGAGCAACAUCCGUCCACGUGCAAGGUAAAAAAAAAUUAAUAAUUUUGCAAUAAAGCAGAAAUCUAAUUUAAAUAGCUCUAAAUCGUUAUCGCCAUUUCUUAUUACUAGCAUUGCAGUUAUGUGUUUUUAACAAUUUAUUUUAUUAAAGUAAACCAACGCUGUUAUGCUUUUACCGCGUCUCGUCCUGAUAAUAUUGGCAAUCGAUAUUUGCCGCUUGUAACGGAGAUAGCAUGUAUUUUUGUAGGCACAUGUAAGAACUAUUCUCUAAUGUACCGAAAAUAAAAACUAAAUUCUGUUGAACAUUGUGAGGUCGUGGCGGUUAUUCAGUGGAGCAUUUUUAGGAGAGAUGGCCUCGUUCCAUUAAUUUAGCAUGCAUGAAACGUGCUAAUGUUAUUUGCGGCCGUCGUUAACUAGCACACAGUAAGGUACCAUCUUUCAUUUUGCCGCACAAGAUAGUUUAACGAUCUUUUUUCGUAAAAGUAUGAUAAUUAAAACUCUGAUAAACGAGAAUGGAUAAUGAUUUUCCGAUAAUAAAAUCAAAAAUUAGAUAAUGCCACAAAUUUAAUUACGUUUAUCUAAUAGCUGGAAGUAUUAAAAUAUAAUAGUUGUAAAAUAUAUACCUAUUAUAAUUUUAGUUUAAAAAUUUUACCUCAAGAUUAAUACGAUUAUUAUUCCUUUAGAAAUUUCAGAGAAUUAUGGCUUUUUUAUUUAAUCUAUGUAUUAAAUUAACUCAAGAAUAGUCAUCUGGAUUUUUUUACAACCUAAUGUUGAAAAGAUGGAGCUGACUUUUAACUGAUGUAAAAAUCGGUCCGUGUGAUCGCUUACAAAAAAAAUGAGGUGACUAUUCCCGGUUGAAAAUAAAUAAGUUACACAAGUACAAUUUUAACCGUACUGUUAAAGAUUACAACAACCGUUUAGAUUGUAACCGUUAAAUUGCAAAAAUGUUGCUUAAGAUUGCUGACGAAAAUGUCACUGCAGCCUCCCUCAUUUAUUUGUCUAUAAAUCACUGUGCGUUUUGACUAAUAUUUAAUUAAUAUCGUUCCACCGCCAUCGACGCGUCUCGCGUUAUUGAAAAAUUACAAGAUUGCAACUUUAAUUUCCACGCGAGUAUAUCUUUGUCAUGUGUGCCGACGAUUCCCAACAUUGUCAUUCAUUGCUACGCUCUUUUUCACGCCGAUCAAGUUCCCUUCAAUCGCACACUGCGAUCUCUUUCUCACCGCCGUCGAAUCAGACAAAUUCGAUUAAGUGGCUCUCUUGGAAACGAUCUCGCAUCGCGACACAACACUCGCGUCGUUCCUGUUAAACGACUCUUCUCUCGUCUCUCCGCUAUUCGUCCCGCGGCAUCGAUCUCCUCAUCUCGCACUCGUAAACGCGGAAGGAACGAACAGCUCCGGGUUAAGAACAAACGCGCCGUAAUGACGAAGCUUUGUCGAAUUAGAGCCUUCCUUCCCAGCCAUUUCGCGCUUUUCCCUUCGCGUAUAGCCACCCUCCCUCGCUCCUUAGGCGCGCGCGCACGUGUGUGCGUGUCGGCUUUUGCGUGCCUAUUCCGUACGCGUGGAUUCCGUGCGCGUUCGAGGUUCCUUUUUCACCCUCGUGUCUCCCCCAUCGCCAGGCACCGUGUGUGUAUCCACCGGCAGACAUAAUUAACAAUUAGUUUCUCUCUCAUAAGUCGUGUGUUCC